GUAACUGAAAAGUAGUCACUACUUUUCAAAAAGUAGCUAAAAAGUAGUCACUACUUUUCAAAAAGUAACUGAAAAGUAGCUGCUACAAAUUUUGGGAAAGUAGCUGCCUACUAAUAUUCCCAACCCUGCAUGUGCAAUAAUUCUAAUAGUUCACCAGGGGUAAGUGGAAUGCACUAAUGCUAAAUAAAUAAAAAAAAAAUUUGGCCCAAAACUUCAUUCUGUGCUGUCUGGCUACUUUCCUCAUCAGAGACUUUUGACAUGUAUCCCUCACAAAUACUCUACAAACCAAAACAAGCAGCCGGCAAGCAGGACAAGAUAAAUGUGUAAUUUCUAUAGAGCUACCAAACCGUACCAGGACGAAAUCUAGCCUGUAAGUCUCAGACCAGAAAGAUAAGUAGGUUUAUUUUGUCCAGUUUAGCAAAAUUUAGCAAUUUUGCUAAAAUGGGUUGGUGGAGAAAUGUGUCAUGAAGACUGAUUGAGAGGCUCCUCGGUCUGUAGGUGAAGGUCAGGAACAGCCUCUCAGCCAGGACACCUUUCUCCUCUGAGAAGGCCUGAUUGGGCUAAUUGUCUCUGACUCCUACAUUAAACAUGUCUGCAUUCUAUCCAUUAUAUUCUUACAGCUUGACCAACGUUUAACUGACCUGUCCAGGAAGACCUUUCACAGAGGAAUCAAAAGAACACAAUGGAGGAGAGAGAAAAAAUCAUAGAAGAAAGAGAGAAGCUUCUGAAUCAGAAAGAAAUUAAUUUUCUAGAAAGAGAAAAGCAUCUGGAUGGGAAAGAGAGCCGGUUAUUAGAGAUGGAAAAGCGUUUGGAUGGGAGAGAUACUCGUUUGGAUGAGAGAGAAAAGCGCCUGGACGGAAGAGAUAUUCGUUUGGAUGAGAGAGAAAAGCGCCUGGAAAGAAGAGAGGGACAGACAGACCCAAGACAACAUGUCUUGUCUAGGAGAAGUCAUUGGGGGUUCCUAGGGUCUUUCCUGCCCAUGGGAGAAAGUUUUCCAAUUAUCCCACCCCCCAUAAAAAGAAGAGGAAGCAUUGCUGAACCUCUAAACUGUAAGUCAUUAUCCUGUCAGGUUGUGAGUCAUUGUUCAUUAUUCAAUUGUCUUGAUUUAACGCACGGUGGCAUGGUGGGUAGCGCUGUCGCCUCACAGCAAGGAGGGCCUGGGUUCGAUUCCCCGGCCGGGCGACCAGGGUCCUCUCUGUGUGGAGUUUGCAUGUUCUCCCUGUGUCUGCGUGGGUUUCCUCCGGGUUCUCCGGUUUCCUCCCACGGUCCAAAGACAUGCAGUCAGGCCAAUUGGACAUGCUAAAUUACCCCUAGGUGUGAGUGACUGUUUGUGUCUGUCUGUCUGCCCUACGAUGGACUGGCGACCUGUCCAGGUUGUAUCCUGCCUUUCGCCCGAAGACUGCUGGGAUAGGCUCCAGCACCCCCCCGCGACCCUGACGGAGAAGCGGCAUGGAUGGAUGGAUGAUUUAACGUUACAAUAAACUUAAAGGGGAACAUCACUGGCUUUUUAAAAUGUCUGAAUAGUUAAAUGUUUAAGGUGUAAACGCUCAUUCAGAGUGAUCUGAUGUGACGUACUCUGAAUUAGAGAACCUCUCUGCCUCUGAUUCUCUGACUCUUCAAGCCCUGGGCCAACAUUCAACAACCAUGGGCUCCUCUUAGCAGCUGAAGACGUGAAAAUCAAGCAAACUGAUGCCUACAAAGAAGGAGAAGAGUAUAAAAAGAACUGCUCAUAUCCAAAAGGCAAAGCAAAACCCCCACAUGACAGCAAAGGACCUGCAGGAAGGUUAAGUUGACACAUUAGAGGCGGUGCACUGUUCUACUGUGCAGCACUGCUUGUGC
ensembl:lncRNA